CCUACGGGAGGCAGCAGUGGGGAAUAUUGCACAAUGGGGGAAACCCUGAUGCAGCGACGCCGCGUGAGUGAAGAAGUAUUUCGGUACGUAAAGCUCUAUCAGUAGGGAAGAAAAUGACGGUACCUGACUAAGAAGCACCGGCUAACUACGUGCCAGCAGCCGCGGUAAUACGUAGGGGGCAAGCGUUAUCCGGAUUUACUGGGUGUAAAGGGAGCGUAGACGGCAGCGCAAGUCUGAAGUGAAAGCCCAGGGCUUAACCAUGGAACUGCUUUGGAAACUGUGCAGCUGGAGUGGAGGAGAGGUAAGCGGAAUUCCUAGUGUAGCGGUGAAAUGCGUAGAUAUUAGGAGGAACACCAGUGGCGAAGGCGGCUUACUGGAUUGUAACUGACGUUGAGGCUCGAAAGCGUGGGGAGCAAACAGGAUUAGAUACCCUUGUAGUC
rnacentral:rRNA from 1 species